GGUCCGUUGGUCAAGGGGUUAAGACACCGCGUUUUCAUCGCGGUAACACGGGUUCAAAUCCCGUACGGACUA
rnacentral:tRNA from 1 species